rnacentral:misc_RNA from 1 species
AAAGUCGUAACAAGGUUUCCGUAGGUGAACCUGCGGAAGGAUCAUUACAGCGCCCGUGGGAUGCUGGGAACCCCCAGCACCCCGCGCCCUGGCCACCCGUGUUUACCUUACCUUUUGUUGCUUUGGCGGGCCCGUCCCAUUAGGGACCGCCGGGGGAGCGUACCCACGUGCCCCUGGCCCGCGCCCGCCAAGGGACCCUUAGAACUCCUGUGAACCAGUGCCGUCUGAGUCGAUAUGUAAAUCGAAACAAAACUUUCAACAACGGAUCUCUUGGUUCCG